rnacentral:rRNA from 1 species
UACGGGGGGGGGCAAGCGUUGUUCGGAAUUACUGGGCGUAAAGGGCUCGUAGGUGGCCAACUAAGUCAGACGUGAAAUCCCUCGGCUUAACCGGGGAACUGCGUCUGAUACUGGAUGGCUUGAGUUUGGGAGAGGGAUGCGGAAUUCCAGGUGUAGCGGUGAAAUGCGUAGAUAUCUGGAGGAACACCGGUGGCGAAGGCGGCAUCCUGGACCAACACUGACGCUGAGGAGCGAAAGCUAGGGGAGCAAACGGG